CUGGCUAAGUUAUAUAUAUAAUGAAGAGAAAAGAAAGAGAGGAGCUGGCAAUGUAAAGCAAAAAUAGCAACAGGUUAAUUAAUACGGUAUGCAUUCCAUCUCAUAACUAGUUAUUAAUCUCUUUUGACAUAGCAUCGCUUAACUCUGAUGUGGAAUGUUCCUCCCGCUGCCCCAGAAAAGUGAGCAUCAACUAGUUACUCGCCCACUGAUUGAAAAAUGUUUACAGGAAUUAUGUUCCUUAAUGCCAAAUCUACCUGCUUAACAAGGUAUAUUUGUGAACUUGCACUCCAAAAUGGGAUGUGCCCGCGAUCAAACAAGGCCAAAGAUGUAACCCAAAACGGCAAAAAUCAUUAACCAACCAAGGAGGAAGAAAACGGAAAAAAAAGAAACAAAGAAAAAUUCCCCCAUUGGAUCGACUAACUUUUCCCCUCAGAACCACCCACCAAUCGCCUUCGCAGCUCCUUCGCCAUGGCCUUCCUAGUGUCCUCCGUCCUGGACGCUGCAUCUCGAUUCUCCUGCGCCCUCCGAAGCAAAUACAGCGCACACUCGCCCACUGUGCCCCACACGAGGUACUUGCAUAUCUUUGGCGCCUCCACAUCCACCAUUACCCCUUCCGCCUGCUGUUCGCGAGCGCACUUCCCCGCCUGCACCAGCUGGCAGCUGAUGUCAUCUGCCAUGCCGAACAGCUGGCCAUAGGCCAUUUCGAUCUGAUUUGCCCCACUGGUGCGCUUCUGUUCGUCUCGAAGCUUCUUGGCUCGUUCAACAGAGACGCGGUUGUGCGAGGCUAGGAGGAGAUCGACUUUGGGGAAUUGAGGGUACUGCUGCUCUUUCCUCUGGGCGCUGGUUAUCCUUGUGCCCCCAGAUGAUGGCAGAUAAUUAUGGGGUUUAAGAACGUCUCCGUAUUGUUGCUUAAUCAACGAUUCGGCAAUGCCGUCGUAUGUAUUGUCGGUUUCUUGCUUUGUGUCCCAGAUUAGAUGGCGCGGCUCGCUGCCUAGAUAUGCACCCCGGACGAGCUUGACGCCCAGUGCGAAUCCCUCCGCCUCCGCGAUGGCGAGAUGCUGUGAGAGAGUUGCCGGGGUAGAACGGAGAUAUGCCUGAUAUGUCCCGUAUAUCACAGCUCGCUGGUCCAGUCCCUUAUUAUAUAUUCGCUGGAAUUCAAGAGUCCAAUCGUCAAUGGCUGGUUGGACUGCUUGCUGUUCAGCAUCAAACAAUAACCUGACAUUGCGAGCUUUAGCCCUCUCGCAAAUUUCGAUGAUCGCUUUUCUAAGGGCUGGUGAUGGUGCGGAUCUGCGCAACAGCUGGUGGACCGACCCUUUCCCGGCUCCUGUGAAUUUCAAUGCAACGAAAUCUCCAUCAUCUGCUAGAUCGACUGUGGCAAGGGUUCCUUUCUUCCAAGCUGUUAUAUCAGCAAUGGCUUGAGCCUUGCUUUCCGCUGUUUCUUCUGUAUCGGUUAAUUGAGCAAGAGCACGGGUCUCGUUCUCAUCCAUAACGACUUCCCGCGCAUACCCCAAUAUGACACCAGAAUAUCCGAUCUGCUUCAACUUUUGGAUAUUCACUUUGGCCUCUGCUGGUGUCUCUCCUGCACAGAAUUGUGCGUACAACGUCUGUCCCAUGAUCAGCUUUAUUAUAGGGUUACGAUCAGGAUUUAGAAAUGUGGACUCAGGGUUUGCCACGACUGACAGGAAAGCCAAAGAUGGCGUGAAGAGAAGAGGUGAGGAGGAGAUAGUGGUAACGAAGAGAGAUCGCAGUAUCGUGGACAAGGGCAAAAUAGACAAUGGAGGAGCUGUCGUCGGGUUUGUAAACGGUAUCGAGGAAUUCAGUGUGGCAAAGGGUCUCGUUGACCUAGGAGCUGCCGACGGCCCUCCAGUUGCAGGAGCUGGGCGUUCGGGCUGUUGGGCAGCGCCAUGGUGAGAGCAUCUAACCCCAUGUUGGCUCCAUAUGGUAGGGGGUUUAACAGAAGUCUGGUGCAUAGCAUGAACGAAACAUGGAGUGGUGGUCUUAAAGGCGAGCUGUUUACGCAUCUCGUCACUCCGCUUUGCUUCCUAGGCCCCUUGUAAAAGACUCCAGCUAUAUACCAAAAUCGGCCUAAACGAUACGAAGGGAAAGCUGGAUCAAAAAAAAUAUCGCGUUAUCUGCCUAAAGAUUAAAGAUCGCAGCAAUAUUAUGCCUUGUAGCUGAAGGGGAGAAGUAAGCUGUUGGCGAGAUGUACAACAACAACGACAACGACGAUACUUGAGGUAGACCAGAUAUGGGCAUGUAAGAGAUAUAAGAAAAUAAGAGCAAGAACCUCACACUCUACAAAUCGAUUCAGGAGCAACGGUGUCGGAUGCGGUUCAGUUAUGUACGGUGGAGUGGAUAGCACGGUACCUGUGCACUUAUACCACAGUCUUGCCCUGCUGGCGUUUUACCCUCCUGGGUCGCAAUACCAUCUGGCAUGCAUUAUCACGAAGCAAGUGGAAAGCACGGAAACACAGGAUUCAAUGCACAGAUUGCAAAGGCAGGA
rnacentral:sRNA from 2 species